ACAGGUGGUGGCAUGGUUGUCGUCAGCUCGUGUCGUGAGAUGUUGGGUUAAGUCCCGCAACGAGCGCAACCCCUAUUGUUAGUUGCCAUCAUUCAGUUGGGCACUCUAGCGAGACUGCCGGUAAUAAACCGGAGGAAGGUGGGGAUGACGUCAAAUCAUCAUGCCCCUUAUGACCUGGGCUACACACGUGCUACAAUGGUUGGUACAACGAGUUGCGAGUCGGUGACGGCGAGCUAAUCUCUUAAAGCCAAUCUCAGUUCGGAUUGUAGGCUGCAACUCGCCUACAUGAAGUCGGAAUCGCUAGUAAUCGCGGAUCAGCACGCCCGCGGUCGAAUACGUUCCCGGGCCUU
rnacentral:rRNA from 1 species